GUUUGAAAUUGCCACUGAACUUGAAGAUCAUGUGAGUAUGCAUGACAAUGUGCCGCCCCACUAGCAAGGCAAGAUAAAUUGAAAAUAUCUUGCAUAACAUUAGGCUGAUGUGAUAUGGAAAAAAUCAAUAUAUCGAUAUUGAACAAAAAUAUCGACUAUAUCGAAUUAUGAAAUUAGAAAAUGUAGUUCAGUUAGUUGAGUGCACUGUUCUUGAAGUAAGUCCAAACAGGGCUUUGAAUUGUUGAUUUGGCAUAUUUAUUGUCUAGACUUUCCAGUGAGUCUAGACAGUGAAUUAGAGAAGGAGCUGUGAUGUUUUGAUUCCAUGUUUACGAGUCAUCACACAGUUAUUGUUUUCAAAAACUAUCGCUUGUGUUGUGGAUGGUGAUCUUCUGUGAUCACUCUUACUCUGUUUGCACUUUUGAAUUGCCAACUCUCAAUUGCUGUCACAUAUGCGUUUUCUCAACUUUACAGAAGAGGUUUCAGUUUUAAAUGGUUCCAUAUUGUCGAUAUGCGAAAAAUGGAUAAUAUUUUCAAAUAUUAAUAUUUUUGAAAUAUCGAUAUUUAUCAAAAAUAUUGAUAUAUCGCAUCAACCUAUAGCUAUUGUGUUGUGAUGAAACCUCUCUUGAAAUUUAUUUGAAGCUGUUUUGAAAUAGUUUGAGAUUGUUUGAAAUUGGUUGAAUUGUUUAGAGAUUAUUUUGACAUAGCAACGCAAUGAGGCAAUGUAACUGUUUAAUAUGAUUGAAAGGUGAUAUUGAUAAUUGACUGUAAUGCAUUUUGAACAAAUGUCAUUUUGUACAUAUCUAGGGUUUUUUUGUUAGAAGUUUGUUAAAAUAGUGGAUUCUUAGUAUAAUAAGAUUUG